GUCUCCAGCCAUACCACCCUGAACACACCUGAUCUCACCUGAUCUUGGAAACUAAGAAGGGUCGGGCCUGGUUAGUACUUGAAUGGGACACAGGCCAAUCCUCUUGCAAGACA
rnacentral:rRNA from 1 species